UCCCAAGUGCUGGGACUAAAGGCGUGCACCACCACACCCGGCUGAUUUUUAUAUCAUUGUUGAACCAAGGCUGGCUUUGAACCCAUGAUUUUUCUGGGCUCCAUCUUGUUUAUUUUUGAAUCAGGGUCUUAUAUAUUCAGGAUUUUCCUUCCACCACUUACUACAUAGAUAAUUACAGGUAUAUGUAAUAGUGCCCAGCUAGUGUAGUGGGUUAGACUAGCUGCUCUGCUCUCCAGAGUUUCUCAUUAUAGAGCACUUUUUUGGGCUAAGAAUACAAAUAAUGUAGGGAAUACAAGCUGGGCAUGGUGAUUCAUGUCUGAAAUCCUACAGUAUAAAUUCCAGGUCAGCUUGAGUUAGAGAGUAAGGUUGUCCGUUAAACUCAACAAACAAGUAUGUAUGUAUAUAGGUGAGUAAACGGCUCUCAGGAUAUAGCUCAGGAUAGUAGUGACCGCCGCUAUUCAGUCUCCAGCACCACAUGAACCAGAUGUGGUGUCACGGGUUUCUAAUCCUAGUAAUGGCAGCAAGAGACAGGAAAACCAGACAUUUAAGGUCCUUUUCAGCUUCUCAGCUACAUAACAAGUUUGAGGCCAGCCCGGAGAACAUGAGGUCUUAUUACAGUAAAGUAUAAAGGUAUUCCAGACUAGCAUAAGACAUAGUAGCAUACACACAUAAUCCCAGCACUUGGCAGGCAGAGUAAACCCUGCCUCGGGGAAAGAAAGAAUAUUGGUGUAGUGAUCCAGACCUGUAGUUAGAGCAACUUAGAAACUUGGAGCAGAGAGAUCACAAGUUAAAAUGAGCUUGACAACUUGGAGAAAUCUCUCAGCCUUAGUGCGCACGCGUGCGCGCGCGCGCACACACACACACACACACACACACACACACACACACACACACUCACACACAGAGGACUGGUUAUGUACCUGAACACCCUUGGGCUGGGGACAUUGGAAACCUGCAUAUUCUUUGAAGGUGACCUACCUUUGCAGUGUCUUGCCACUUCAGUCUCAGUAUUUGCAUAGAUGCUUAGAUCCAAGUGUUUCUGUGGACCUGAUGGGGACUGGUUUUUACGGAUGUCACAUAUAAAACCAUAGGUGGAAGUUUGCUGAGGUCUUUUUGACCUUUGACUGUUGCCAUGAUAGCCUUCUUGAUUGAGAUUUGCAUAUCUAUAACUAUAAUUUCCUAAGUUUGGGAGUCAGCAGUAUUUCCUCUUUGACAUAUUUUCUGAGCCUGGAUAUCUUGGAUAAACCAGGAUCUUGUCUAUAGGAAAUUUAUUGAUGAAACUGAGAAUGUAGCUUAGUUGGUAGAGUUUUUGCCAGAGCCUGCAUGAGGCCCUAUAUUCUCUUCUAGAAUUUCAUAAAAACUAGACACGGGAAGCACAUACCUACAGAGUUGCCAUUAGCUACUCCUGAAUUUGGGGACAACCUAAUUUUCCUGCAACCAUGUCU
rnacentral:lncRNA from 1 species